rnacentral:rRNA from 1 species
AUUGAACGCUGGCGGCAGGCCUAACACAUGCAAGUCGAGCGGAUGAAGAGAGCUUGCUCUCUGAUUUAGCGGCGGACGGGUGAGUAAUGCCUAGGAAUCUGCCUGGUAGUGGGGGAUAACGUUCCGAAAGGAACGCUAAUACCGCAUAAGUCCUACGGGAGAAAGCAGGGGACCUUCGGGCCUUGCGCUAUCAGAUGAGCCUAGGUCGGAUUAGCUAGUUGGUGAGGUAAUGGCUCACCAAGGCUACGAUCCGUAACUGGUCUGAGAGAAUGAUCAGUCACACUGGAACUGAGACACGGUCCAGACUCCUACGGGAGGCAGCAGUGGGGAAUAUUGGACAAUGGGCGAAAGCCUGAUCCAGCCAUGCCGCGUGUGUGAAGAAGGUCUUCGGAUUGUAAAGCACUUUAAGUUGGGAGGAAGGGCAGUAAGUUAAUACCUUGCUGUUUUGACGUUACCGACAGAAUAAGCACCGGCUAACUUCGUGCCAGCCGCCGCGGUAACAC